UACCAGCACCCCGAGUGGUCGGGACGUUUAUUGGGCCUAAAGCAUCCGUAGCCGGUUCUACAAGUCUUCCGUUAAAUCCAACUGCUUAACAGGUGGGCUGCGGAAGAUACUAUAGAGCUAGGAGGCGGGAGAGGCAAGCGGUACUCGAUGGGUAGGGGUAAAAUCCGUUGAUCCAUUGAAGACCACCAGUGGCGAAGGUGGCUUGCCAGAACGCGCUAC
rnacentral:rRNA from 1 species